AUGGUGAUGGGGCCCUCCAGGGCAGACUCUGUCCCAUACGACGGCAACAUCACGGUGAAGGCGGCUACGCGGUCUGGCGAGUCGCCCGGGGUCUACACCCGGGACCUGGCCAUCGCCGCCCCUGUCUGCUUCACCGGCGGUGUGGUACUGACCCUGAUGGUGGUUUUGAUCUACCAGCGACUGUCCCGGAGGAGGAGAGAGAAGAAGGCGAGGAAGGAGCGAGAGAAGGAGCAGGAGGCGGAGGGAGGGAGAGCGGAGGAGCAGGACUCCAGCGCCUGGGGGAGGCGGAGGGAGCUGGCCUCUCCAGGAGACCGCAGGCCGCCCUGGGACGGCGGGCCGGGCGCUCUGGACCCAUCGAGAGCCGUGGGCGGCGGCGGACAUCUGAAGUGUCCUCACUGCAGAGGGGCGGGGCCGGGGGCCGGGGACCCCCGGGCUGGGGGUCUGGGGGCCCGGGCUGGGGGUCUGGGGGCCCGUGAACCCCGGGUCGGGGGCCUCGGGGAGGGGGGGAACCAGACGAGGAGCGAGCAGGGAGGCGUGGGGGGGAGGUCCGGGAUGCCGCCCCACAGGAGGGCGCUGAUCCCCAACGUGGUGGCCAACGGCGGCCCCGGUCACCCCCCCCCCAGAGACAGAGCCCCCCGGGGCAUCCUGAGACCCCACCCCACGGGAAAGUGCCUGGUUCAGUCCAGGACCCAUGGAGACCUGUCAGGACGAGGCUCAAUCCACUACAGGUCUGAGGAGUCAGGAGACCACUACAAGUCUGAGGGGCCAGGAGACCACUACAGGUCUGAGGGGUCAGGAGACCACUACAAGUCUGAGGGGCCAGGAGACCACUACAGGUCUGAGUGGUCAGGAGACCCAGACCACUACAGGUCUGGGGGGUCAGGAGACCACUACAAGUCUGAGGGGUCAGGAGACCACUACAGGUCUGAGGGGUCAGGAGACCACUACAGGUCUGAGGGGCCAGGAGACCCAGACCACUACAGGUCUGAGGGGCCAGGAGACCACUACAGGUCUGAGGGGCCAGGAGACGACUACAGGUCUGAGGGGCCAGGAGACAACUACAGGUCUGGCCCAGCCCCUCAGGCCAGAGGUUUUCUGUCCAGGCUAAUCUGUGACCACUGCAAUCAAACAUCUGGGGCCAGAGCAGACGAUGUGAGCAGCAGCCAGGAGGGGCUCUCCCUGGGCCCCUCAGAGCGCCCGGCCCUGCCCAAGUCCCGCCCCAGGGCCCGGGGGGCCAGGGACCUCAGCCCCAGAGACAGGAGAGGGAGGAGGAACGUUACCUUCUACCUCGAAAGACCCCUGGAGCCCAGGAGGUCUGGGGACAAGACGAGGAAGAGAGGCGAGGGAGGGAAGAGAGAGGGACGGCAGAGGACCAGAGGUCAUUCCAGGCGGCUGCUGAAGGUCAACCUCAACCUGAGUCCGGUCCGGAGGAACAAAGUCCACCCCGGGAAGUCCUCGGAGAAGAGGAGCUCCAGGGGGGAGGGCCGGGGCCCAGAGGGGAGGAAGGAGAAUGCAUCGGAGGGAGAAGGAGAUCAAGGAGGAGGCCGCAAAGAAAAGAAGAAUGAAACAAAGAUCUCCAAAAACAAGAAGGUAGUGGAGGAGAACAAGACCUCCUCUGAAGAGAAACCCUCCCAACAAAGCUCAGAACUAGACCAAAAGGAUUCUGUUGGGACCACGGACCAAUCAGAAGCCAGCAGAGCUCCUGAGGGCCUGACACCCUCCAAUGAACUGGGACAAGACCUGCAGCUGGGCCCGCCUCCAUGUCCUCCCCCCGCCCCGGCCAGCGUCUCUCUGACCCCCAGCGCAGCCCGCCCUGCAGCACGCCCCUCCCUGCGCGCCCUCCUGCCCCCGGCCCCCACCCUGCUACACCGUCACGCCAACAGUAGCCUGGCUGCUCACGUAGCGUCCCCGGGUCUCCGUGGUCUGACCCCCUACAGGGCCGCUCCUGCCGGCGCCCAGGGCCUGGCUCUCCACAGAGGCUUACGUCAUAGCGCUUCGGCCGCUUCCCUGCUAGCCAGCCCUGGACGGAGCAGACCUCUGCUGGGCCGGGCCGCCAGCACCCCCUCCUUCUACACCGGGCCGCCUGCAGUCCCAGCGCCCAGCACCCAGCCUCUGUCCCCUCCUCAGCCGCCUCCUGAGAGCCUCCCUCCGGCCCCCAGACCCCCCGCUGAGAGCCUCCCUCCGGCCCCCAGACCCCCCGCUGAGAGCCUCUCUCCGGCCCCCAGACCCCCCACUGAGAGCCUCCCUCUGGCCCCCAGACCCCCCGCUGAGAGCCUCCCUCUGGCCCCCAGACCCCCCGCUGAGAGCCUCCCUCUGGCCCCCAGACCCCCCGCUGAGAGCCUCCCUCCGGCCCCCAGACCCCCCGCUGAGAGCCUCCCUCUGGCCCCCAGACCCCCCACUGAGAGCCUCCCUCUGGCCCCCAGACCCCCCGCUGAGAGCCUCCCUCCGGCCCCCAGACCCCCCGCUGACCCACCCCAGGGCCCAGGCCUCCAGGCUGGGCAGGACCGCCCGGCCCAGGGGUCUGUGGCUGGGCGUGGUGGAGCAGGGCCUCCGGGAGAGGCUGGAGGGGGAGAUGGAGACCCCCCAGGGCCCCAUUGGUUGGUGGCUGGAGGCCCAGUAGUGGCCAGCCACUCCGCAAGCGGGGCUCGCCGAGGGGCCCUGACGGCUGCAGGGGAUGCCGAAGGGAGUGUGACCUCGGUACCAGUUGAGGGUGCAGAAGAGGGUGUGGUGUCCUCGCCAGGGGGCGUGGUUUCAUCUCCAAGGGGCGUGGCCACCGCCGGGUCUCAGGCCCUGCUGCAGCAGGAGUACCUGUCAGAAGACAGAGGCUCCUCCCCCAAGAGGAAGUUGAAGCUGGUCCUUCCUGAGAAGGCCUCCAGCAGACCUCCCACGGCUCUGGAGAGGAAGAUACGAUAGGAGGACUCAGGGUUAGAUGUCCCCUGACCCCCCACAGCCCUCUGGCGGGGGGGGGGGGGGUCCCUGGGAUUCAUUGUGGGACCAGCAGUAAGUGGACGUCCCACAGACAUUGAUGGUCUGUUGGGCCCUUCGAGGAAGCUCUGGUCUUCUGAUCCCAGGGUUAGAUGAUCCCAGACGUCUCUUCUCAUGGACACACUUCACCAUGAGCAGACAGAUAUUUGAACCUGAACUAGGAGACAUGUUAAAGAUGUAAGGUAGAGGACUUGGUUAGGAGGAGUCUCUAUGUCUCUAUGUUUGCAGUCUGUAGUCUGUAUGUCUCUCUGUCUGUAGUCUGUAUGUCAAAGGAACAUAAGGAUUUCAGACCCAAAGCCCUUACCUCAGUAAUUAUGAAAUCUUUAAGAAUUCUGCUCUGCUCAGACAACAAACGUGGCACCGAAGACGCUGUUGCCUCUUUAGUCCAUAUUAUUCCGAAACAUUUUAGACGAACCCAAGACCUAUGCAAGAGCCCUCUUUUCAGAUUUUUCAUCAGUCUUCAAUACCAUGCAAGCAGACAUUCUGGUGGCAAAAAUGGACCAGCAGGAACUGAACCAAUACCUGAUACAUUGGUAUGCUUAAUUUCUACAGUUUGUAAAGGUAAACAAAACCCUUUAAUCUGCCAUUAUCACCAAUGUUGGGGCCCCCCAGGGUUGUGUGAGUUCAACUAUGCUUUUACGUUCUACACAGAGGAUUGUCGUACAGACACAGCAAAUCAAUUUAUAAUAUAAUACUAGUUAGACUGAAGCACUCUUUUGUUCACCAGUUAACCCUAGAACUGAUCCAGGCACUAAAUCCCAGACCGAAUGCCCGCUGAUGGGCCUUAAAUGUUGUCGUCUGUUGCUGUAAUGUCAAGAUGAAUGUAUGUAUUUAAUUGUAAUUUUGGGUCCUGUCUUGAUGUCCUGUUUUUGAUGUCCUGGCCUGAUGUCUUGUCUGGGAUGUUUGUAAAUAGAGCUGCUUGGGAUGCAAGACAAAUUUCAGACCUGCUCUGACAAUAAAGUAUUAUCGUAUCGUAUUGUAUGUCGCUAUGUUUGUAAUCGGUAUGUCUCUCUGUCUCUAGUCUAUAUGUCUGUAGUCUGUCGUCUGUAUGUCUGUAGUCUGUAUCUGCAGGGUCGUUGAUGAAGAUUCACCUUCAAUGUUUUGAAAAUACCUUCUAACUCACAUUUGAUUUUUAAUUUCUUAUCUGUUGUACGUGCAUCUUUGUCUGUCUAACUUCCUGGUGUCAUACAGCAGAGAGCAGACCUAAACAUAGACGUACGUCGGUGUCUGUGGGAUACACCAGCAUGGUCUUCACCAACCCAAUAUGGCCGACAUGUAAACAGACAUAAUAACAUGUUAGUACGAACAAGGAUCUCCAGGAUGUCCUGUGAAGCGAUUGUAUGCAUAGUACCGGAUUCAGCUCAGAAACCAUCAGAUUCAUUCCUUCAAAGGGAUUAUAUUGGAGGAAAUAAAUUCAACAAAGUAGAAUACAUUUUUCUGACAGUGAGAGUACACAACAGUCGUCAGUCAAGUCAACUGAGCAGUUUUGGUUAGAAUGACCUCUGGAUUCUGAAAUCAAAAGAUUAACUUUGACAUUUAUACCUAUGGCCACUAGAGGGCAGUGUUGGACCAGUGAGAGACCAGUGUUGAACCAGUGGGAGAGCAGUGUGGGACCAGUGAGAGACAUAUAUUUAUCAAUGUAGUGAUAAUGAAUGAUGUCGGACUAAAUAAAAUAUAACAAAAUGCGUACAGUAAUUGUUCAUACUUUUAAUCGUCUAAAAUGUAAUUAAAAUUUGACCAGGAACGAUAAUACAUUAAUUUCCUAAUGCUUUAAAUAUCUAAUCUGAUGAGAGAAUUUAGUUUGAAUAAUUUAGUAACUCAUUAUUCAGCAUGUAAUAAUGGUAAAUUAUCGUACAUAUUGAGAGUGUGUGGUUCUGUUGGCGGCGCACUUCGCUCCACAACCUGUCGCGAGCGUACCCCUCGAGCAGCUGUUCGGAGGAUCUCGCGACGUCUCAGCCGUUGGACGAAGUUCUUGGCAGGUAUAUACAGUUUCUUACUUUAUAUAUAUAUAUUUAUAUAUGUAUAUAAUUACAUGCAGUUU
rnacentral:lncRNA from 1 species